rnacentral:SRP_RNA from 1 species
UAGUGGGCUAGGCAGGAAGGAUAGCCGUCUUCCCUUGCGCGCAAUCGGCUUCAUGCGCGUGCCGAACACCGGAAACGAAGAACCAAAUCAGGGAUUGACGUCCGCAUGUUUUGCUGACCUUUCGUCCGGGAAGAUGGCCCUAAAGGAAGAACCCCGCCAGGCCCGGAAGGGAGCAACGGUAGGCCGUUAGGUUCAUGCUUCACGGGUCACGGAAGCGAGAAACACGUGGACAACCAUCAAUUCAUUUUUUGGAAACGGGGACCGGGAGCCCAUCA